rnacentral:rRNA from 1 species
CAUGCAAGUCGAACGAGAGAUGAGGAGCUUGCUCUUCAAAUCGAGUGGCGAACGGGUGAGUAACGCGUGAGGAACCUGCCUCAAAGAGGGGGACAACAGUUGGAAACGACUGCUAAUACCGCAUAAGCCCACGGCUCGGCAUCGAGCAGAGGGAAAAGGAGCAAUCCGCUUUGAGAUGGCCUCGCGUCCGAUUAGCUAGUUGGUGAGGUAACGGCCCACCAAGGCGACGAUCGGUAGCCGGACUGAGAGGUUGAACGGCCACAUUGGGACUGAGACACGGCCCAGACUCCUACGGGAGGCAGCAGUGGGGAAUAUUGCACAAUGGGGGAAACCCUGAUGCAGCGACGCCGCGUGGAGGAAGAAGGUCUUCGGACUGUAGACUCCUGUUGUUGAGGAAGAUAAUGACGGUACUCAACAAGGAAGUGACGGCUAACUACGUGCCAGCAGCCGCGGUAAAACGUAGGUCACAAGCGUUGUCCGGAAUUACUGGGUGUAAAGGGAGCGCAGGCGGGAGAACAAGUUGGAAGUGAAAUCCAUGGGCUCAACCCAUGAACUGCUUUCAAAACUGUUUUUCUUGAGUAGUGCAGAGGUAGGCGGAAUUCCCGGUGUAGCGGUGGAAUGCGUAGAUAUCGGGAGGAACACCAGUGGCGAAGGCGGCCUACUGGGCACCAACUGACGCUGAGGCUCGAAAGUGUGGGUAGCAAACAGGAUUAGAUACCCUGGUAGUCCACACCGUAAACGAUGAUUACUAGGUGUUGGAGGAUUGACCCCUUCAGUGCCGCAGUUAACACAAUAAGUAAUCCACCUGGGGAGUACGACCGCAAGGUUGAAACUCAAAGGAACUGACGGGGG